CUGAGUUUACGCUCUAUAACCCUUUGUGAAUCUUAUAAAACCUGUUGCUUCGGCGGCGCGUCUCCGGGCGUGCCCGCCGGUGUUCAGUAUCUCUUGUUUCUCUAUGAGUUACCUCUGAGUGUUCCAAAGCGAACUGUCA
rnacentral:misc_RNA from 1 species